AACGAACGCUGGCGGCGUGUUUAAGACAUGCAAGUCGUACGGAGUGAUUGGGGUAGCAAUACACCGGUCGCUCAGUGGCGCACGGGUGAGUAACACGUGAAUGACAUGCCCUUGAGAGGGGGAUAGCCCAGGGAAACUUGGAUUAAUACCCCAUGGUCUCGAAAGAGUAAAGGUGGCGCAAGCUGCCGCUUGAGGAUUGGUUCGCGGCCUAUCAGCUAGUGGGCGGGGUAACGGCCCACCAAGGCGACGACGGGUAUCUGGUUUGAGAGAACGAUCAGGCACACUUGAACUGAGACAGGGUCCAGACACCUACGGGUGGCAGCAGUCGAGAAUAAUUCACAAUGGGGGCAACCCUGAUGGUGCAACGCCGCGUGGAGGAUGAAGGUCUUCGGAUUGUAAACGCCGGUCAUCUGGGAGUAAGACCUGGGCAUGAACAGUGCACAGGGUUGAUAGUACCAGAAGAGGAAGGGACGGCUAACUUCGUGCCAGCAGCCGCCGCAGUAA
rnacentral:rRNA from 1 species